UGGGGGAUAACGCAUCGAAAGAUGCGCUAAUACCGCAUAAUCUCUAAGGAGAAAAGCAGGGGAUCGCAAGACCUUGCGCUUUUGGAGCGGCCGAUGUCUGAUUAGCUAGUUGGUGAGGUAAAGGCUUACCAAGGCUUCGAUCAGUAGCUGGUCUGAGAGGACGACCAGCCACACUGGGACUGAGACACGGCCCAGACUCCUACGGGAGGCAGCAGUGGGGAAUUUUGGACGAUGGGGGCAACCCUGAUCCAGCCAUGCCGCGUGAGUGAAGAAGGCCUUCGGGUUGUAAAGCUCUUUCAGCCGGAACGAAAAGGUUACGGUUAAUACCCGUGACUAAUGACGGUACCGGAAGAAGAAGCACCGGCUAACUACGUGCCAGCAGCCGCGGUAAUACGUAGGGUGCGAGCGUUAAUCGGAAUUACUGGGCGUAAAGCGUGCGCAGGCGGUUUUGUAAGUCAGAUGUGAAAUCCCCGGGCUUAACCUGGGAACUGCGUUUGAAACUACAAGGCUAGAGUGUGGCAGAGGGGGGUGGAAUUCCACGUGUAGCAGUGAAAUGCGUAGAGAUGUGGAGGAACACCGAUGGCGAAGGCAGCCCCCUGGGUUAACACUGACGCUCAGGCACGAAAGCGUGGGGAGCAAACAGGAUUAGAUACCCUAGUAGUCCACGCCCUAAACGAUGUCAACUAGUUGUCGGGUCUUAACGGGCUUGGUAACGCAGCUAACGCGUGAAGUUGACCGCCUGGGGAGUACGGUCGCAAGAUUAAAACUCAAAGGAAUUGACGGGGACCCGCACAAGCGGAGGAUUAUGUGGAUUAAUUCGAUGCAACGCGAAAAACCUUACCUACCCUUGACAUGUACCGAAGCCCGCCGAGAGGUGGGCGUGCCCGAAAGGGAACGGUAACACAGGUGCUGCAUGGCUGUCGUCAGCUCGUGUCGUGAGAUGUUGGGUUAAGUCCCGCAACGAGCGCAACCCUUGUCAUUAAUUGCCAUCAUUCAGUUGGGCACCUUAAUGAAACUGCCGGUGACAAACCGGAGGAAGGUGGGGAUGACGUCAAGUCCUCAUGGCCCUUAUGGGUAGGGCUUCACACGUAAUACAAUGGCGCGUACAGAGGGUUGCCAACCCGCGAGGGGGAGCUAAUCUCAGAAAGCGCGUCGUAGUCCGGAUCGGAGUCU
rnacentral:rRNA from 1 species